ACGGGUGAGUAAUGUCUGGGGAUCUGCCCGAUAGAGGGGGAUAACCACUGGAAACGGUGGCUAAUACCGCAUAACGUCGCAAGACCAAAGAGGGGGACCUUCGGGCCUCUCACUAUCGGAUGAACCCAGAUGGGAUUAGCUAGUAGGCGGGGUAACGGCCCACCUAGGCGACGAUCCCUAGCUGGUCUGAGAGGAUGACCAGCCACACUGGAACUGAGACACGGUCCAGACUCCUACGGGAGGCAGCAGUGGGGAGUAUUGCACAAUGGGCGCAAGCCUGAUGCAGCCAUGCCGCGUGUAUGAAGAAGGCCUUCGGGUUGUAAAGUACUUUCAGCGGGGAGGAAGGCGAUAAGGUUAAUAACCUUGUCGAUUGACGUUACCCGCAGAAGAAGCACCGGCUAACUCCGUGCCAGCAGCCGCGGUAAUACGGAGGGUGCAAGCGUUAAUCGGAAUUACUGGGCGUAAAGCGCACGCAGGCGGUCUGUUAAGUCAGAUGUGAAAUCCCCGGGCUUAACCUGGGAACUGCAUUUGAAACUGGCAGGCUUGAGUCUCGUAGAGGGGGGUAGAAUUCCAGGUGUA
rnacentral:rRNA from 1 species